rnacentral:lncRNA from 1 species
CUUUUCGGGGAAGACUGUUGAACGUCGUGUUAAGUUCUCGCUUCUCAGAGUCCUGUGGACAAUGACUGAGGAGACAAACCAUGCAGGAAACAGCUCUCUGCAGCAAGCUGUCUGGAUCCAGAGUGAGUGGAAGAUUGACAUUAGUCAGUUUUGCUGUACAGUUGGAUUAAGCUCUUACUUGCCUUGUUUUGCAGCAUUCGCUUGGGAUUCCUAAUGCCUUGAUUUGAGGAGAGAAGAUGAACCUCACCUAACUUUGAAAUUAAUAUUUAAUGCUUUGAGGUCCCUUACUUGCAGGGAGAUGUGGUAAAGUGAGUACCCUGCAGUUCGGGGAGAUAAACCUGCAGUUUGAAAAUGUUAAGAUUACACAGAAUAUUUAAUCCUGGAACUAUCUUAAAAAGCAGCAGAGGAAUAGUAUGUUGCCCAGAUGCCCAUUGAAAUUAGAAGGAAUUAUAUGUGACAGGUGUGGGGGGUGGCCCUAGAGAUCCUCUCAGGUUUUCUACGAUGUGAAAACCAGUCAACAGUGGGUUUUCUGACAAGUGGAAGUAUGAGGACCUAUAUAUUUUAAUAAAGAGAUGCAUGACAGU